rnacentral:rRNA from 1 species
GACGAACGCUGGCGGCGUGCCUAAUACAUGCAAGUCGAACGCAGUGGGGACGGGUGAGUAACACGUGGGUAACCUCCCAUCAGAGGGGAUAACACUUGGAAACAGGUGCUAAACCGCUACUGAUGGAUGGACCCGCGGUGCAUUAGGUAGUUGGUGAGGUAACGGCUCACCAAGGCCACGAUGCAGAGCGGAGCUGAUAGGGUGAUCGGACACACUGGGACUGAGAAACGGCCCAGACUACUACGGGAGGCAGCAGGAGGGAAUAUUCGGCAAUGGACGAAAGUCUGACCGAGCAACGCCGCGUGAGUGAAGAAGGUUUUCGGAUUGUAAAACUCUGUUGGUAGAGAAGCGGUACCUAAACAGAAAGCCACGGCUAACUACGUGCCAGCAGCCGCGGUAAUAC